rnacentral:rRNA from 1 species
UUGAACGCUGGCGGCAUGCCUUACACAUGCAAGUCGAACGGCAGCACGGGAGCAAUCCUGGUGGCGAGUGGCGAACGGGUGAGUAAUAUAUCGGAACGUGCCCAGUCGUGGGGGAUAACGCAGCGAAAGCUGUGCUAAUACCGCAUACGAUCUACGGAUGAAAGCGGGGGAUCGCAAGACCUCGCGCGAUUGGAGCGGCCGAUAUCAGAUUAGCUAGUUGGUGGGGUAAAAGCCCACCAAGGCGACGAUCUGUAGCUGGUCUGAGAGGACGACCAGCCACACUGGAACUGAGACACGGUCCAGACUCCUACGGGAGGCAGCAGGGGGGAAUUUUGGACAAUGGGGGCAACCCUGAUCCAGCCAUGCCGCGUGAGUGAAGAAGGCCUUCGGGUUGUAAAGCUCUUUCAGCCGGGAAGAAAUCACAUGGGUUAAUACCCUGUGUGGAUGACGGUACCGGAAUAAGAAGCACCGGCUAACUACGU